rnacentral:rRNA from 1 species
CCUACGGGCGGCAGCAGUGGGGAAUAUUGCACAAUGGGGGAAACCCUGAUGCAGCGACGCCGCGUGAGUGAAGAAGUAAUUCGUUAUGUAAAGCCCUAUCAGCCGGGAAGAAAAUGACGGUACCUGAGUAAGAAGCCACGGCUAACUACGGGCCAGCAGCCGCGGUAAUACGUAGGGGGCAAGCGUUAUCCGGAUUUACGGGGGGUAAAGGGAGCGUAGGCGGCAGUGCAAGGCUGGAGUGAAAAGCGGGGGCCCAACCCUCGGACUGCCGUGGAAACUGUACGGCUGGAGUGCAGGAGAGGUAAGUGGAAUUCCUAGUGUAGCGGUGAAAUGCGUAGAUAUUAGGAGGAACACCAGUGGCGAAGGCGGCUUACUGGACUGUAACUGACGCUGAGGCUCGAAAGCGUGGGGAGCAAACAGGAUUAGAUACCCGUGUAGUC